UACGUAGGGUGCGAGCGUUGUCCGGAAUUAUUGGGCGUAAAGAGCUCGUAGGCGGUUUGUCGCGUCUGGUGUGAAAAUCCAGGGCUUAACCCUGGACCUGCAUCGGGUACGGGCAGACUAGAGUGCGGUAGGGGAGAUCGGAAUUCCUGGUGUAGCGGUGAAAUGCGCAGAUAUCAGGAGGAACACCGGUGGCGAAGGCGGCGACCUGGGUAGAUACUGACGCUGAGGCGCGAAAGCGUGGGGAGCAAACAGG
rnacentral:rRNA from 1 species